rnacentral:rRNA from 1 species
ACAAGUACCGUGAGGGAAAGUUGCAAAGCACUUUGAAGAGAGAGUUAAAGAGGACGUGAAACCGGUAAGGUGGAAACGGAUAGAGUCGGCGUAUCAUUCAUGUAUUCAGUUACAUUAUUUUUAUGUUGUGACCUCUGAGCUCCAGAUUGGGACAGAGGGAAUCAGCAUAAUUUUUUGUGGUGCUUUUACUUGAUUGGUGCUUGGGGAUGUUUGAGGCAGAUUUGUUUCCGUCGUUUUGAGGCCAGCUUGCUGGUACCCAAACGGUGUUAGCAUUUUUUGUCUUGGGCAUUUGAGUAUGGCUCACGUGUAUUUAUUGGACAGAUCUGAGUGUAAGUUACGGUCGCAUGCGACACGUGCUUUUCAAUUAGUUCGGUCCAGUUAAUGCUCUCGUACUCGUUUCCCAUGUAAAAGCCGGUCAUCUAUCCGACCCGUCUUGAAACACGGACCAAGGAGUUUAUCGUGUGCGCAAGUUUUUGGGUGUUAAAAACUUAAAAGCGAAAUGAAAGUAAAUGACUCUUUAGAGUCUGAUGUGCGAUCUUGUAAAAAAGUGUAGCAUGGCCCCAUUCUAACUGUUUACAGUAGGGUGGCGGAAGAGCGUACGCGGUGAGACCCGAAAGAUGGUGAACUAUUCCUGAGCAGGACGAAGCCAGAGGAAACUCUGGGUGGAAGUCCGAAGCGGUUCUGACGUGCAAAUCGAUCGUCUGACUUGGGUAUAGGGGGCGAAAGACUAAUCGAACCAUCUAGUAGCUGGUUCCUUCCGA